UUUCUUUCUACUACUGAUUCCAAGUUCCCGUUCCCUCUCUCAAAAUCAAUUCAUUUUAAAUUUCACCCAUCCCUUUCCCCCUCCUCGCAUCGCUCUCCCCCACCCCCAUACCCUGCGCUUCCCCUCCCUGCGUAGCCUACCUCCCAAACCCCAACCCUAAGUCACCUAACCCAUCCUCUUCCCCACCCCCACCCCCACCCCCACGUCACCCAUCCUUUGCCCUAGUUGCCCCGUCGCCGUCAACCCUCCCUCUGCCUUAUUUGGUUUAACCGGUUGGAAAAUUCUUACUCAAAACCUGCACCCUUAUCCUUUGCUGAAGAGAUGUGCGGUCAUCUGACAAGGUAUUUAAUCAUCUUCAUCUUCAUAAAAAUUGCUUUAAGCUGACUUGCUUUCAUUGUUACCACCAUUGUUAGAGAAUCACAUAUAAGUUAACCCUCCUAGUUGCCCCUAUCUCACCCAUCCUCUAUCCCGGUUGCCCCUGUUACUAAUAGUGUCUCUGUCUAGUGAUAGAUAGAUAAUGAAGACUGGUGUUUAAUAUGAAGAGUUUGCCCUAUAGAGGUUAGUUGAGAAUCGGUUUGGUCAUACUAGAGCAAGCAUGGCUUAUGUGUUAAUCACUUAUGCCAUUUGGUUCAUGUCAAUCACUUGGUUGUUUGCACCAUUUCUUUUUAAUCCUUUUGGUUUCAGUUGGGGCAAGAUAGUAGAUGACUAGAAAGAUUGGAACAAGUGGAUCAAGCAGCAGGGUGGCAUAAGAGUUCAACAGGAUAAAAGUUGGUAAUCAUGGUGGGAUGAUGAACUUGCUCAUCUUCGUCGCUCAGGGUUGAGUUCUAGGUUGAUUGAAAUACUUCCCUAUCUUAGGUUUUUCAUUUAUCAGUACGGUCUGGUAUGUCACCUUAACAUCUCCCAACAGAGCAAAAACUUUCUGGUUUAUGUGCUUUCAUGGGUUGUGAUUCUUGCAGUUUUCCUAUUAGUCAAGGUAUGUUCUUCUUAUAACAUUCAACUGGAGUUGUAUGCUUUAUUUAAUCUACUUGCAUAAUAUGCAAAUAUUUACAUGAAAUAUGACAAGUUUAUAGGCUCAAACAUAGUUAAAUUAUUUGGUUGGAAUAUUCUUUUGACUUGAGAGAUACUGCAGCAGUUCAGACACAGACUGGCCAAAGUAUGAUAUGAGAGAUGGAAGGUGUGAAUUUUUCAUUUGGACGGAUAUAUUUCAUUCGUUAGAUGAGAACAUUUGUAUAAGAGAUAAUAAAGUUUGGAAGAUGUGAGAUGACAUACUGCUGUGCAAGUAUGGCUCGGAAAAUGGUAGAGAGAGAGAGAGAGAGAGAGAGAACUCUUCAAAAGGCAUCCCGUAUAUUAUUGUGUUUGUAUUGUAUUGGGUUAUCACAAUGAUAAUCAUUUCAGCUUGGUUUGGAUAAAUUAUAUGUAAAUUGACAUGUUCUAUGGAGUAGUGAGUUGCUAAAUGGCUCUAAUGUAAUUGUACUCCCUCUAUGUUUUGGACCUUUGGUUAUGAUGUACAAAAGGGGUUGCUAAAUGGAUCUAAUGUAAUUGUAUUCUCUCUAUGUUUUGGUUAUGAUGUACAAAAGGGGUACCUAUAGGUUCUUUGAA